ensembl:lncRNA
CAAACAUGAUUCAGACUGCCUCAGAACCAGCUUUAACCUGACCUGUGAUUCUGUGAGGAGUUGGGCAAACAUGAUUCAGACUGCCUCAGAACCAGUUUUAACCUGACCUGUGAUUCUGUGAGGAGUUGGGCAAACAUGAUUCAGACUGCCUCAGAACCAUUUUAACCUGACCUGUGAUUCUGUGAGGAGUUGGGCAAACAUGAUUCAGACUGCCUCAGAACCAGUUUUAACCUGACCUGUGAUUCUGUGAGGAGGUGGGCAAACAUGAUUCAGACUGCCUCAGAACCAGUUUUAACCUGACCUGUGAUUCUGUAAGGAGAUGGGUGUUGUAUGUUGUGUUAUUAUGUGGACUAUGUCAUUGUGUAGUUAUGUAGUCAUGUACUAUAUUGAAAGCUUACUGAGUUGAACUGUAAAUCUUCAAGUGGUGAUGAAUCAGAAACGGAGACGUGACAGAUUGUGUCCCAAAUGACACCUUAUUCCCAAGAACAGAGUGCUACUUUAGGAAAUGGCCAAUAGGGGGCCUUAGUUAAAGUUGUGAACCAUAUUAAGGAAUUGGAAACAGUUUUACAAUCAGCAAGGUUCUGUUUCGUUUUUUUGUCCUAAUGUAAAUGCAAUCAACUAUAUUGUGUGUGUGCGUGUGUGUGUGUGUGUGUGUAUGUAUAUGUGUGUGUAUAUACAUAUAUAUAUAUAUAUAUAUAUAUAUAUAUAUAUAUAUACUGCAGAGAUGUUCUAGAUGCAGUAUAUAUUUUAGAUGUUUUAUUUUUGUGGCAUUCAGAUGUUAAUGCUACACAGUGAGUCACAGAUGUCUAAUGUAGAUGUGUGAGUGUGGACAUUAAAAUAAAAAAAUAUGAAAAUGAUUUACUAAUUCUAACCCAAACAACCUUAACAUAAGUUCAACCCUGAAAACCUAGCCGUAGCCCAAAAUGAAAUAGUACUGUAACUCCUAACUUUAAACCAUAAUUGUACACCUAAACCUAACCCAUAUUGUUUAAACUUAAUUAUAUCCUAAUCUUAAUCCUAUGCUAAUCUUAAUCCUAUUCUCUAACACACAGCAGGCUCUACAGGGUACCUACUUUGCUAAUCUAAAACUGUUUCAUGCCAUCUGGGAUUUUUAUUUAGACUGCAUGCUUUCAAAUGUUAAGGAAUGUAGCUUGAGUUGCUCAAAUAUACUACAGGUCAUUGUGCACCUAAAUGUCAUGUGUAUGCUUAACAUGUUCAAUUUAGUCACACAGAACCGUGUAGAAAUGUCAGUGGAAAGCCUUGCACGCACACACAUCCACACACACACUUUUAGAGGUGGUUGUUCCGUUAGGAGAUCCAGUAACUCCAUUCACGCCUAGUUAGUGAAGCUUGGCUGACAGACCAGCUGAUGCUACCAGUGGCUCCCUAAUACCUACAUGGCGAAGAGCAUCUUCCCCAGUCCAGAUUAAAUGUAUCUUCCCCAGUCCAGAUUAAAUAUAUGUUCCCCAGUCCAGAUUAAAUUUAUCUUCCCCAGUCCAGAUUAAAUGUAUGUUCCCCAGUCCAGAUUAAAUGUAUGUUCCCCAGUCCAGAUUAAAUGCAUCUUCCUCCAUCCAGAUUAAAUAUAAUAUCUGUUAAAGCUUAUCAGUGAUUACAAUUGAACUGAAUAAUUGUCAAGUUUACAAUUACAUGGUCCUUGUAGAAGAGCCUUGGUCAUGAGGUUCUGGAGAGUUGAUAUGAUGACUUUUCACUGAACAGAGACUUAGCCAUGCCAAAACAAUGUUGAAAAAUUUGACUGACGUUGUGCACUACCUUUGUAGUGCACUAAUUUUGAACAGGUCUGGUUGGGAAUUCUUUAGGGCAUAGACUGCCAUUUGGGACGCACAUAUGCAGACAUGUUACAGAAGCUGCUGUAAGGCUUUAGGGCCGGUUGUUGUUACCUAGUCAAACAUGCCAUAUACUAUAGCCAUGUUCUGCCUUUUGAAGUUGAAAUUAUAUAUUUAUCAGGUUUUUAUUUUAUUUCUAGUCAUAUGUACAGAAUAUUUGUGCCGGUCACCCAUUUAAUAUGAGCUAGAUAGAAAUCAUAGAUAUAGAUAUCAUAAGAUGUAAAUGUAAAAGAUCUCAUUAUAAACAUGUCCCAAAUUGUGAUUUUUACUAAGACGUGUAAAUUAUUGAUUUCAUUGAAAGAUUUUUCAAAUAAUCCAACCUAUGCAUUUAUCCCUUGAUUUUGAUGUGUUGUUAUUGUGUUGUUAUAAUUUUAUUAGACCUGAAGACAAGAUUUAUUGUAUCAUUGAGCUGUUUGGUAUAUCAUUAGUAUACUGUUGUUGCAAUUAUUGUAUGUUCUGAAAACUUAUAUGAAAAAACUAAAUACAUCUAGAAAAUAGAUGGAUGAUAUUGACAUUAUUGACCUGCUAAGCUUUUUGUAAACUGACACUGUUAUUCUUGUAUUUAGCUUCAGUUUGUAGAACAUUUUUAAAUAUUAUUAAAUAUAUCAAUCAAAUUUAUUUAUAAAGCCCUUUUUACAUCAGCAGUUGUCACCAAGUGCUUUUACAAAACACCUGGCCUUAAACCCCAAGGAGCAAACAACAGUAGUGUUUCACUUAUAUAUUUCACAUAUAUCUAUGACAAAAAGGAAUUGUUAAAGGCAAAAUAAUAUUUAAAAUAAUAAAGAUAUGAUUUUAACUUUGUGGGGCAAUUCCUACCCUAAUGGAGGAUUUGGGACCACAUUUGUAAUUUGAUUAUAGAAAGAUAUUGCACUUUUACUUUUACAUUUUAUUAAUAACAGUGCUCCUUGUGAACAGAGGAAUAAAAACAAAACAUAUGUUUAGAAACUAAAUUGUUAAAUUUUUUACUUAAGUAAAGGAGUACAUUUGAAUUGUGCUGUGUGAUUACAAUCAAAAGGAAA